rnacentral:rRNA from 1 species
GGAUUCCCCUAGUAACUGCGAGUGAAGCGGGAAAAGCUCAAAUUUGAAAUCUGGCAGUCUUUUUUUUCUUCUUUGGCUGUCCGAGUUGUAAUCUAGAGAAGUGCUUACCUGCACUGGACCAUGUAUAAGUCUCCUGGAAUGGAGCCUCACAGAGGGUGAGAAUCCCGUCUUUGACAUGGACUGCCAGUGCGUUGUGGUGCGCUCUCAAAGAGUCGAGUUGUUUGGGAAUGCAGCUCUAAACGGGUGGUAAACUCCAUCUAAAGCUAAAUAUUGGCGAGAGACCGAUAGCGAACAAGUACCGUGAGGGAAAGAUGAAAAGGACUUUGGAAAGAGAGUUAAACAGUAUGUGAAAUUGUUGAAAGGGAAACGCUUGAAGUCAGUUAUGUCGGCUGGGGAUCAACCUAGCCAUUUUUUUUGGCUGGGUGAAUUUCCUAGUCUGACAGGCCAACAUCAGUCUUGACUGCCGGAAAAGAGUGGAGGGAAUGUGGCACCUUUGGGUGUGUUAUAGCCCUCCGUCAUAUGCGGCAGUCGGGACUGAGGGAUGCAGUGUGCCGCGAGGCUGGGUUUUGACCACGUUCACACUUAGGAUGUUGGCUUUUAAUGGCUCCAAUCGACCCGUCUUGAAACACGGACCAAGGAGUCUAACAUGCCUGCAAGUAUUUGGGUGGAAAACCCUUGUGCACAAUGAAAGUGAAAGUUGAGAUCCCUGUCAUGGGGAGCAUCGACGCCCGGACUUGAGCUUUUAGCGACGGAUCCGCGGUAGAGCAUGCAUGUUGGGACCCGAAAGAUGGUGAACUAUGCCUGAAUAGGGCAAAGCCAGAGGAAACUCUGGUGGAGGCUCGUAGCGAUUCUGACGUGCAAAUCGAUCGUCAAAUUUGGGUAUAGGGGCGAAAGACUAAUCGAACCAUCUAGUAGCUGGUUCCUGCCGAAGUUUCCCUCAGGAUAGCAGAAGCUCAUUGUCAGAUUUAUGUGGUAAAGCGAAUGAUUAGAGGCCUUGGGGUUGAAACAACCUUAACCUAUUCUCAAACUUUAAAUAUGUAAGAACGAGCUGUCACUUGAUUGGACUGCUCGGCGAUUGAGAGCUUCUAGUGGGCCAUUUUUGGUAAGCAGAACUGGCGAUGCGGGAUGAACCGAUCGCAAGGUUAAGGUGCCGGAGUUCACGCUCAUCAGACACCACAAAAGGUGUUAGUUCAUCUAGACAGCAGGACGGUGGCCAUGGAAGUCGGAACCCGCUAAGGAGUGUGUAACAACUCACCUGCCGAAUGAACUAGCCCUGAAAAUGGAUGGCGCUUAAGCGUGACACCCAUACCUUGCUGUCAGUGUUGAAGUGAUGCGCUGACAAGUAGGCAGGCGUGGAGGUCAGUGAAGAAGCCUAGGCAGCGAUGCUGGGUGAACGGCCUCUA